rnacentral:lncRNA from 1 species
AGUUUUUUAGGAUGCAAGUCCAACUAUAGCCCUCAACGAAAUGAGCUAUUUACCGACUAUCCUGAGCCUGAAAUGGGUAGAAAGGAGGGUGGUGAGAUUAUAUAAUCCUAAUGAGUAAAAAAAUUCCAUCUAAAAUAUCUAAAGCUGAGUAAAUGGAGAUAGAUAAAAUAGUUUAACAUACUGUAAUUCAUCACCUUUCAACUCAUUUCAACCAAAUAAAAUCAAUUCACAUAAAUCGAGUAAUCAACAUGGCUUAUGAAUUUCUUAAAACUUUGGCUCAUGCCAAAAUCAUUCUCAUACUCAGUUAUCAAGGAUACCUUGGUCGACGGCUAUCCCAACCGAGUCCGCCAAGGUUGUUAAAAGUUAUGUACUCAUAAAUCAUGUUUUUAUUUUGAAAACAUAGUCGUUCCUUGGCAUUGGCUGAGUUCAUCCUCACGUGGUGUUUGGCGUGAAGUGAACUCUAAAGUGUUAACCUCAAGAGUUAUCCAUCCGCGCCUCUCAUACUGAGGUAUGAAUAUAAAAGGGUUACUGUGCCCCUUCUAAUAGGCUGGUCCACGGAACCCGUCCAUUGCAGCGACUAAUCAAUAACCUACCAAUUCAAUAAAAUUUAACAGCAUGACAUGGCAAUUUUAUCAUUAUCCAGCCUAUCAAGGCAAACAAUAGUUUAUACAUUUUCAACACGAAUACCAAUUCAGCCAUUCAUGCCAAUAUUGCCAUAAGCCAAUCAAUUAGAACCAUAAAUUCAUAAUACAUCAAAUGGUCUCCAAUUAUUCUAUUUUCAAAGCCAUCAUUUAAUUUCAAGACAAUUUAUAAAAUCAUUUCAUUUAAACACAUUUUGUUUAUAAAACAUAAAGAUUUACCAUUUAAACUCAUUUUCUAUAAAAUCUCAAAAUCAAAUAAAAACCACUUUAGAUAAUUAAGACGAUAGUAAGGUUACUCACUAUUUCGGGAGUCGAAUUUUGAGUACUCCGAUUCUUGAUCCUCGGGUACUAUCUAUUUACUUUUGCUAGAAUGCUCACCACCUAGACAUAAUGCACAAUAAGCCAUUUACUAAAUUUGUGCUAAAUUGUUAUAAAACCAACUCAGGCUUUAUACUAAUGCAUGAAAUGGGAUGUGAAAUACUCGGGUAACUAUCUAAAUACGGUGUUCAAUAUAAAUUCAAUUAUGUACCUAAAUAAAAUGGUAUUGGCCUAAUUUGAUCUAUCACUCGAUUAAUUGGCCAAUAUGUCCAAUUUAACUUCAAUUAACUCCAUUUUUCUCCCAAUACUCCAAAUCAUCAAACACAAAUUAAAUAACUUGAAAUAUGGCAAAAUUAUCCUCACAUUUUUCUCUUGAAAAAUUCGGCCAUGGUGGGUGCAUCAACACUAUAAUUUUUCCUAGUUGAUUCUAACACCAUAAAUCACUAAUUCCAAACCAAAUCACUUGAAAUAAAUCAAAAUCAUCCUCAAUAAUCCACAUGGAGAAUUUGGCCAAUGAUGGGUGAUGGAAGAACAUGAAUUUUUCUUGCUUGAUUUUCAUGCUGCACAUCACCAAUCAACUAAAAACACUAAAACACAUUGAAAUCUAACCAAAUCAAGCAUCAAAACCUCUCUCUAAGUGUUCAGCCAGCAAGAUACCCAUCAUGAAAUCAUGUGAUUCAACCAUGGAAAAUGCAAAAGAAUGCAUGGCAAAGGUAGAUCACAAGUCAAAAUCAAGAAAUUUUACCUUUGAUUGCUUGAUUACUUGAAAUCCACCAAUUUUCUCUUGAAUUUUCACCCUAGGGUUCUUGUUCUUUCUUUUCUUCCUUUGUUCUUGCUUUGGC